rnacentral:lncRNA from 1 species
UUUUUUCCCAUCAUAUCCUCUUUCCCUUCUCAUCUUCUAUCUAAAAACCUAAUUUCAAAAUCCUCAAUCGUAUGUUUCCAUCUCCAUGAUCUGAUACAGCCAAAUGUUUGUUAUGCUGUCGCAGGGGAUUCACCAAGUUCAGCCGUACAGAUUAUUUGCAGUGGAAAUCUGAAAAUCGUAUCGUCUUUGAUGGUGUUAACGCCAAGCUGUUGUUAAAAGCUAGCCGAGAGUCACCAACCAGAUUCGACCAAUAUCAAAUAUCGGUUUAUACACCGAACCCAUUUUGACCUGCCCCUACUUCAUACCAUGUUCCAUGGUAGCCGAAGAAACAUGACCCAUUGCAACAGGUCCUGGAACAAAAACAGGUCGGUCGUUACAUUCACCAAAGGAGGUCUGAGUCGAAAAGGUCUGCAGGGAUAAACAUAAGCAGCCUCGGAUUUGGCAGGAUGUUAGUCAUGUCAAGGGGUGAGUUUUGUGCUUAAAGACGCUCCCUCGCAUAUCGUGAAUGAUCUUCCGUUAAAGCUCCAAGGUUUUGUCCUCAAAAUCAGUGAAAGGCAGAUAUAAAUAACACAAAGGCUUAAGAAGUUGGAAGAGAACUCAGAGUAAUCAAAGUUUGUCCUCCAAGGUUUUGUCCUCGCAACUAUAUUAAACUACAGAUACAAAGAGUUUCCUUGGCUUUGGCCGGCUAGCUGAAGAGUAAAAGAAAUAGAAAUGAUGAUUGCCAUUUGCACAAAAGUAAAAAAUGUAAGUCAUAGUCAUGUUACUCUUUCAUUGCCAUUUGUAAACUCAGUUUUUCUUUGAUUGUGGAAGCGGCUGGUGUACACUUCCAUGGAGUGGUUCUCAUGUAAAUAUUCCCACUUCACAGUUUUUGAUUUAGUUUUAUAAUAUUUUUAUACACGUAUCCUAAAAUAAUGGC